rnacentral:rRNA from 1 species
GAUGAACGCUAGCGACAGGCCUAACACAUGCAAGUCGAGGGGCAGCAUUUAAUAAGCUUGCUUAUUAAGAUGGCGACCGGCGCACGGGUGAGUAACACGUAUGUAAUCUGCCUGUAACAGGGGAAUAACCCGGAGAAAUUCGGACUAAUACCCCAUAAUAUCAAAAUGUUGCAUGAAAUUUUGAUUAAAGGAUUUCCGGUUACAGAUGAGCAUGCGUAUCAUUAGCUAGUUGGUAGAGUAACGGCCUACCAAGGCAACGAUGAUUAGGGGUUCUGAGAGGAAGAUCCCCCACACUGGUACUGAGACACGGACCAGACUCCUACGGGAGGCAGCAGUGAGGAAUAUUGGUCAAUGGACGGAAGUCUGAACCAGCCAAGUCGCGUGAAGGAAGACGGCCCUUAGGGUUGUAAACUUCUUUUAUUUGAGAGUAAAAGAUCUUACGUGUAGGAUUUUGCAAGUAUCAAAAGAAUAAGCAUCGGCUAAUUCCGUGCCAGCAGCCGCGGUAAUACGGAAGAUGCGAGCGUUAUCCGAAUUUAUUGGGUUUAAAGGGUGCGUAGGCGGGUCGGACAGUCAGUGGUGAAAUCUUGCGGCUCAACCGUAAAACUGCCAUUGAAACUAUCGACCUUGAGUGUAAAUGAGGUAUGCGGAAUGCGUGGUGUAGCGGUGAAAUGCAUAGAUAUCACGCAGAACUCCGAUUGCGAAGGCAGCAUACUGGGAUACAACUGACGCUGAAGCACGAAAGCGUGGGUAUCGAACAGGAUUAGAUACCCUGGUAGUCCACGCAGUAAACGAUGAAUACUAACUGUUUGCGAUACACAGUAAGCGGUACAGCGAAAGCGUUAAGUAUUCCACCUGGGGAGUACGCCGGCAACGGUGGAACUCGAAGGAAUUGACGGGGGCCCGCACAAGCGGAGGAACAUGUGGUUUAAUUCGAUGAUACGCGAGGAACCUUACCCGGGCUCAAACGUUGGGGGAAUAAUUUGGAAACAGAUUAGCUAGCAAUAGCCGCCAACGAGGUGCUGCAUGGUUGUCGUCAGCUCGUGCCGUGAGGUGUCGGCUUAAGUGCCAUAACGAGCGCAACCCUUAUCAAUAGUUACUAACAGGUCAAGCUGAGGACUCAAUUGAGACUGCCGGCGCAAGCCGUGAGGAAGGUGGGGAUGACGUCAAAUCAGCACGGCCCUUACGUCCGGGGCGACACACGUGUUACAAUGGUAUGAACAAAGGGAAGCCACGUAGCAAUACGGCGCCGAUCCCCAAAUCAUAUCUCAGUUCGGAUCGGAGUCUGCAACUCGACUCCGUGAAGCUGGAUUCGCUAGUAAUCGCGCAUCAGCCAUGGCGCGGUGAAUACGUUCCCGGGCCUUGUACACACCGCCCGUCAAGCCAUGGGAGCCGGGAGUACCUGAAGCAUGCAACCGCAAGGAGCGUUCUAAGGUAAUACUGGUGACUGGGGCUA